rnacentral:rRNA from 1 species
UACGGGAGGCAGCAGUAGGGAAUCUUCCGCAAUGGACGAAAGUCUGACGGAGCAACGCCGCGUGAACGAUGAAGGCUUUCGGGUCGUAAAGUUCUGUUGUUAGGGAAGAACAAGUACCAGAGUAACUGCUGGUACCUUGACGGUACCUAACCAGAAAGCCACGGCUAACUACGUGCCAGCAGCCGCGGUAAUACGUAGGUGGCAAGCGUUGUCCGGAAUUAUUGGGCGUAAAGCGCGCGCAGGUGGUCCUUUAAGUCUGAUGUGAAAGCCCACGGCUCAACCGUGAGGGUCAUUGGAAACUGGGGACUUGAGUGCAGAAGAGGAAAGUGGAAUUCCACGUGUAGCGGUGAAAUGCGUAGAGAUGUGGAGGAACACCAGUGGCGAAGGCGACUUUCUGGUCUGUAACUGACACUGAGCGCGAAAGCGUGGGGAGCGAACAGGGAUUAGAUACC